rnacentral:rRNA from 1 species
GACGAACGCUGGCGGCGCGCUUAACACAUGCAAGUCGAGCGAGAACCAGGGCUUCGGCCCUGGGGACAGCGGCGAACGGGUGAGUAACACGUGGGUAAUCCACCCUCGGCACCGGAAUAGCCCGGGGAAACCCGGAUUAAUGCCGGAUGGCCCGCCGGCCCUGCGGGGCUGGCGGAAAAGGUAGCUUCGGCCUCCGGCCGAGGACGAGCCCGCGACGGAUUAGCUUGUUGGGGGGGUAACGGCCUACCAAGGCUGCGAUCCGUAGCUGGUCUGAGAGGACGAUCAGCCACACUGGGACUGAGACACGGCCCAGACUCCUACGGGGGGCAGCAGUGGGGAAUCUUGCGCAAUGGGCGAAAGCCUGACGCAGCGACGCCGCGUGAGGGAAGAAGGCCUUCGGGUUGUAAACCUCUUUCAGGAGGGACGAAGCCACUCGGGUUAAUAGCCCAGAGGGUGACGGUACCUCCAGAAGAAGCCCCGGCUAACUACGUGCCAGCCGCCGCCGUAAGAC